rnacentral:rRNA from 1 species
AACGCUGGCGGCGUGCCUAAUACAUGCAAGUCGAACGAAACUUCUUUAUCACCGAGUGCUUGCACUCACCGAUAAAGAGUUGAGUGGCGAACGGGUGAGUAACACGUGGGCAACCUGCCCAAAAGAGGGGGAUAACACUUGGAGACAGGUGCUAAUACCGCAUAACCAUAGUUACCGCGUGGUAACUAUGUAAAAGGUGGCUAUGCUACCGCUUUUGGAUGGGCCCGCGGCGCAUUAGCUGGUUGGUGGGGUAAAGGCUUACCAAGGCAAUGAUGCGUAGCCGAACUGAGAGGUUGAUCGGCCACAUUGGGACUGAGACACGGCCCAAACUCCUACGGGAGGCAGCAGUAGGGAAUCUUCCACAAUGGGCGAAAGCCUGAUGGAGCAACGCCGCGUGGGUGAAGAAGGUCUUCGGAUCGUAAAACCCUGUUGUUAGAGAAGAAAGUGCGUGAGAGUAACUGUUCACGUUUCGACGGUAUCUAACCAGAAAGCCACGGCUAACUACGUGCCAGCAGCCGCGGUAAUACGUAGGUGGCAAGCGUUAUCCGGAUUUAUUGGGCGUAAAGGGAACGCAGGCGGUCUUUUAAGUCUGAUGUGAAAGCCUUCGGCUUAACCGGAGUAGUGCAUUGGAAACUGGGAGACUUGAGUGCAGAAGAGGAGAGUGGAACUCCAUGUGUAGCGGUGAAAUGUGUAGAUAUAUGGAAGAACACCAGUGGCGAAAGCGGCUCUCUGGUCUGUAACUGACGCUGAGGUUCGAAAGCGUGGGUAGCAAACAGGAUUAGAUACCCUGGUAGUCCACGCCGUAAACGAUGAAUGCUAAGUGUUGGAGGGUUUCCGCCCUUCAGUGCUGCAGCUAACGCAAUAAGCAUUCCGCCUGGGGAGUACGACCGCAAGGUUGCAACUCAAAGGAAUUGACGGA